AUCGAGACUAGAGUCACAACUAGAUAUUGCCAAUUAUCAUGGUGUGCUAUAGUACUCGAAGAGUAACAACUAACUUUUAUUCACUGGCUGUCCUCUUAAUAGUACAGUCAGCCACCAGGUUAGGAACAGAU